UACAGAGGGUGCGAGCGUUAAUCGGAAUUACUGGGCGUAAAGCGCACGUAGGCGGCUUGGUAUGUCGGGUGUGAAAUCCCCGGGCUCAACCUGGGAACUGCAUCCGAAACUGCCUUGCUCGAGUAUGGGAGAGGGAAGUGGAAUUUCCGGUGUAGCGGUGAAAUGCGUAGAUAUUGGGAGGAACACCAGUGGCGAAGGCGGCUACCUGGACCGGUUCUGACGCUGAUGCGCGAAAGCGUGGGGAGCAAACAGG
rnacentral:rRNA from 1 species